UGGGGAAUAUUGGACAAUGGGCGAAAGCCUGAUCCAGCCAUGCCGCGUGUGUGAAGAAGGUCUUCGGAUAGUAAAGCACUUUAAGUUGGGAGGAAGGGCAGUAAGCGAAUACCUUGCUGUUUUGACGUUACCGACAGAAUAAGCACCGGCUAACUCUGUGCCAGCAGCCGCGGUAAUACAGAGGGUGCAAGCGUUAAUCGGAAUUACUGGGCGUAAAGCGCGCGUAGGUGGUUCGUUAAGUUGAAUGUGAAAGCCCCGGGCUCAACCUGGGAACUGCAUCCAAAACUGGCGAGCUAGAGUAGGGCAGAGGGUGGUGGAAUUUCCUGUGUAGCGGUGAAAUGCGUAGAUAUAGGAAGGAACACCAGUGGCGAAGGCGACCACCUGGGCUCAUACUGACACUGAGGUGCGAAAGCGUGGGGAGCAAACAAG
rnacentral:rRNA from 1 species